UUCGCAGCCUCCUCCACGCAGGCGCUCUUCGCUCGGCGGCUGCGGGCUGCUUUCUCCGCCUGGGCCGGCGCAGGGCACUGGGCAGCGGCGGCGGCCCGCGAGCCGAGUCCCCGCGCAUCGCCUGCGCCCCCGGGAAUCCGGGCGCUACCCCACGAAGCUGCCGCACCAGCAGCCCCAGAGCCGGCCUCAGUGGCCCUUGGCUUUUUGUGUAACUUUGUACCUGGCAUCUACUCUGGGCAUAGCCUGCACUAGGAUCUAAGGGAAUGGUGAGAGAACGUCAGCAGAGUCUCUUCAAGGCCUUUGGGGGAGGAGCUCCAAGUGGACUCCACUCUGCCACGUCUGGGCUGCCCCAGUCUUGCUCCAUUAUGGCCCCUCAGUGUGGAGCAGAACUUUUUCUCCAGCUCACCAGCUGACUUCUAUGGACAAGGCAUUCUCAGCCACACUGAGCA
rnacentral:lncRNA from 1 species